ACUCGGGGUAUCAUUCUGCGAUAAUAAAAAUCUCACCUUGUGACGUCGCCUCUCAUCCUCCCGAGUCUCUUGUCUCGUGCUUGAUCCACCUCCACCUAGAGCUCCACCUGGCUCUGAGCUCCACCUGGCUUCUGAAGCUCCACCUCGCACUGGACUCCUCACCAGAUAAUAAUGUCUUCUCCUCCCCUUCUUCUCCUCCAGAACAAUCCUAUCGCUGCGUAGCACCUUCAGGAUUCUUUCACCA
rnacentral:lncRNA from 1 species